rnacentral:rRNA from 1 species
UACAGAGGUCUCAAGCGUUGUUCGGAUUCAUUGGGCGUAAAGGGUGCGUAGGCGGCGCGGUAAGUCGGGUGUGAAAUCUCGGGGCUUAACUCCGAAACUGCAUUCGAUACUGCCGUGCUUGAGGACUGGAGAGGAGACUGGAAUUUACGGUGUAGCAGUGAAAUGCGUAGAGAUCGUAAGGAAGACCAGUGGCGAAGGCGGGUCUCUGGACAGUUCCUGACACUGAGGCACGAGGGCCAGGGGAGCAAACGGG